UACGUAGGGUGCGAGCGUUAAUCGGAAUUACUGGGCGUAAAGCGUGCGCAGGCGGGCUUUUAAGCCAGACGUGAAAUCCCCGGGCUUAACCUGGGAAUGGCGUUUGGGACUGGAAGUCUGGAGUGCGGCAGAGGAGACUGGAAUUCCUGGUGUAGCAGUGAAAUGCGUAGAUAUCGUAAGGAAGACCAGUGGCGAAGGCGGGUCUCUGGACAGUUCCUGACGCUGAGGCACGAAGGCCAGGGGAGCAAACGGG
rnacentral:rRNA from 1 species